GACGUAGGGGGCCAGCGUUGCUCGGAAUUACUGGGCGUAAAGGGUUCGUAGGCGGUGCGGCAAGUCGGGAGUGAAAUCUCUGGGCUUAACUCAGGGGCUGCUUCCGAAACUGCCGUGCUUGAGUGCGGGAGAGGCGAGUGGAAUUGCAGGUGUAGCGGUGGAAUGCGCAGAUAUCAGGAGGAACACCGGUGGCGAAGGCGGGUCUCUGGGCCGUUACUGACGCUGAGGAGCGAAAGCGUGGGGAGCGAACAGG
rnacentral:rRNA from 1 species